rnacentral:rRNA from 1 species
CUGCUCAGUAACACGUGGAUAACCUACCCUUGAGACGGGGAUAAACCCGGGAAACUGGGUAUAAUACCCGAUAGAUCUCGACUGCUGGAAUGCAUCGAGCUUGAAAGCUCCGGCGCUCAAGGAUGGGUCUGCGGCCUAUCAGGUAGUAGUGGGUGUAGCGUACCUACUAGCCUACGACGGGUACGGGUUGUGAGAGCAAGAGCCCGGAGAUGGAUUCUGAGACACGAAUCCAGGCCCUACGGGGUGCAGCAGGCGCGAAAACUUUACAAUGCUGGAAACAGCGAUAAGGGGACCUCGAGUGCCAGGUUACAAAUCUGGCUGUCGUGAUGCCUAAAAAGCAUUGCAUAGCAAGGGCCGGGCAAGACCGGUGCCAGCCGCCGCGGUAACACCGGCGGCUCGAGUGGUAACCGUUAUUAUUGGGUCUAAAGGGUCUGUAGCCGGCCGGAUAAGUCUCUUGGGAAAUCUGGCAGCUUAACUGUCAGGCUUUCAGGAGAUACUGUCUGGCUCGAGGCCGGGAGAGGUGAGAGGUACUUCAGGGGUAGGGGUGAAAUCUUGUAAUCCUUGAAGGACCACCAGUGGCGAAGGCGUCUCACCAGAACGGACCUGACGGCAAGGGACGAAAGCUAGGGGCACGAACCGGAUUAGAUACCCGGGUAGUCCUAGCCGUAAACGAUACUCGCUAGGUGUCGGCAACGGUGCGACCGUUG